AUUGAACGCUGGCGGCAGGCCUAACACAUGCAAGUCGAACGAGUGGCGGACGGGUGAGUAAUGCUUUGAAAUCUAGCUUAUGGAGGGGGAUAACUACGGGAAACUGUAGCAAAUACCGCGAACGAUGGGAUGAGCACACGUGGGAUGAGGUAGGUGGGGAGGUAAAGCCUCACCAAGCCGACGAUAUCUAGCAGGUCUGAGCGGGUGACCAGCCACACUGGGACUGAGACACGGCCCAGACUCCUACGGGAGGCAGCAGUGGGGAAUAUUGCGCAAUGGGAGCAACCUGACCGAGCCAUGCCGCGUGAAUGAAGAAGGCCUUCGGAUUGUAAAGUUCUGUCGGUAGAGAGGCGGUAACUACAGAAGAAGCACCGGCUAACUCCGUGCCAGCAGCCGCGGUAAUUC
rnacentral:rRNA from 1 species